CGCCAGAUAGCUCAGUUGGUAGAGCACCUGACUAGAGAUGCAGGGGGCCCGGGUUCGAAACCCGGUCUGGUCC
rfam:Crassostrea gigas strain 05x7-T-G4-1.051#20 contig10585, whole genome shotgun sequence.